rnacentral:rRNA from 2 species
AUCUACUCUGUCGUGGGGGAUAACGUAGGGAAACUUACGCUAAUACCGCAUACGACCUACGGGUGAAAGCAGGGGAUCUUCGGACCUUGCGCGAUUGAAUGAGCCGAUGUCGGAUUAGCUAGUUGGCGGGGUAAAGGCCCACCAAGGCGACGAUCCGUAGCUGGUCUGAGAGGAUGAUCAGCCACACUGGAACUGAGACACGGUCCAGACUCCUACGGGAGGCAGCAGUGGGGAAUAUUGGACAAUGGGCGCAAGCCUGAUCCAGCCAUACCGCGUGGGUGAAGAAGGCCUUCGGGUUGUAAAGCCCUUUUGUUGGGAAAGAAAUCCAGCCGGCUAAUACCUGGUUGGGAUGACGGUACCCAAAGAAUAAGCACCGGCUAACUUCGUGCCAGCAGCCGCGGUAAUACGAAGGGUGCAAGCGUUACUCGGAAUUACUGGGCGUAAAGCGUGCGUAGGUGGUCGUUUAAGUCCGUUGUGAAAGCCCUGGGCUCAACCUGGGAACUGCAGUGGAUACUGGGCGACUAGAGUGUGGUAGAGGGUAGCGGAAUUCCUGGUGUAGCAGUGAAAUGCGUAGAGAUCAGGAG